AUACGGAGGAUGCAAGCGUUAUCCGGAUUUAUUGGGUUUAAAGGGUGCGUAGGCGGAUGAUUAAGCGUGAGGUGAAAUGCCACUGCUCAACAGUGGAACUGCCUCGCGAACUGGUUGUCUUGAAUGCUCCUGCCGUGGGAGGAAUGUGUGGUGUAGCGGUGAAAUGCAUAGAGAUCACACAGAACACCGAUUGCGAAGGCAUCUCACGAAGGGGUGAUUGACGCUGAGGCACGAAAGCGUGGGGAUCAAACAGGAUUAGAUACCCUGGUAGUCCACGCAGUAAACGAUGAUAACUAACCGCUGGGUCGUAGUGAUUCAGUGGCCAAGCGAAAGCGAUAAGUUAUCCACCUGGGGAGUACGACCGAAAGGUUGAAACUCAAAUGAAUUGACGGG
rnacentral:rRNA from 1 species